rnacentral:tRNA from 1 species
GCCCGGGUGGCGGAAUUGGGAGACGCGGUGGACUCAAAAUCCACUGGGGGUUGACCCCGUGCGGGUUCGAGUCCCGCCCCGGGCA